CCCGGUGACUGUAGCGGAGGGGCCACACCCGUUCCCAUUCCGAACACGGAAGUAAAGUCCUCCAGCGCCGAUGGUACUGCGGUGGCGACGCCGUGGGAGAGUAGGUCGUUGCCGGGA
rnacentral:rRNA from 1 species